GUAAUAUCUGUGUGGAGUAGAGUGUUCAGGCCACUUAAUUAGUCCCCUCGAAGCUGCCAAUUCACUGCCUUUAUCGAUGUUUGAGGGAUGAUGAUUCAUGCACACAUGCGAAGAUUAUAAUUAGGUCUCGUUUCCAUGGGUCUGUCUGUGCUUACUGUAACUCUUGGGGCUAGAGAGGAUGUCGGUGUAGACGCCGUGGAGGUCGCCGUAGUAGAGGUUGGCGGUGGGGUACUUGGCUCGCAAGAUAGCGGCGUGGAGAUCGAGUAUGUGGCGCUCACCUCAACAAGCUCAACCACGGCGUCUACAACGGAUCCCACGAUCGACAGCGUCUCCCGGGGACUGAGCACCGAGUCGUAGAGGCUGAAGAAGUAGUCUUGAUAGCCAGCAUAAACCACGUAUAAGGACGAAUUCAGUGUGGCCAGUGUGGGUAAGCUCUGCACUACAACUGCGCCGCGAUCAUAACAAAAAAAUAGGUCAGUUGGAUUCAUAAGUCGUGCGAUGAAUUUAGAGGGAAGAUUAAGUAAAAUAAUGCGAUUGAUUUUGUAAAAAGAUCAAAAUAUAUAAAUUGAUCGACGAUACUUACUGACAGGAUCUUGUCUUUCGUAGUAUGAGUAUCGAACUUU